ACUGCGGCAAGACGAUCGUCCAGACGAUGUCAGCCCACAAAAAAUAAUCACACCCUCCAUAAAAUAAAAUGGCAUGAACAAGACAGCCAAUACACAGAAUAUGACAUUCUAACACCACACCUCAAAAAAAAAGAAAGAAAAAAAAAGGAAAAAAGAAAAAAAAAAAGAAGCCAGCUUGGGGCCCAAGGUGAGGCUUGAAACCUCAUGAAAAGAAAAAAGGGGGGCACCCCCCCAAGCAGCCCGUCAACCCAAAGGGCACCCCUGGAUCGGAGAGCCUCAGGACGCCCCCAGCAGGUCCACAUCCCCAAACCCCCAAACCCUGCAGCAGCGCAGAAAGAAGGAUGGAUCUGCCAGAAGAGGCUCUCCCGUUUAUGCCCUGGAACACAGACGCCAGGAACUGCGGCAAGACGAUCGUCCAGACGAUGUCAGCCCACAAUAAAUAAUCACACCCUCCAUAAAAUAAAAUGACAUGAACAAGACAGCCAAUACACAGAAUAUGACAUUCUAACACCACACCUCAAAAAAAAAGAAAGAAAAAAAAAGGAAAAAAGAAAAAAAAAAAAAAGAAGCCAGCUUGGGGCCCAAUGCGAGGCUUGAAACCUCAUGAAAAGAAAAGAGGGGGGCACCCCCCAAGCAGCCCGUCAACCCAAAGGGCACCCCUGGAUCGGAGAGCCUCAGGACGCCCCCAGCAGGUCCACAUCCCCAAACCCCCCAAACCCUGCAGCAGCGCAGAAAGAAGGAUGGAUCUGUCAAAAGAGGCUCUCCCGUUUAUGCCCUGGAACACAGACGCCAGGAAGCGAGAUAACGAUGGCCAUGAAAACUGGACUAUUGAACCUCGGAAGCCGCCGUGAAGAUCGUCGGUAACGUGAAUAAUGUGCUGUCGCUCACUGUGUGUACGCUUACGUGGCUAUGCAGCCAGAUAAACACACUUCUAAUAAAGGUCCAGAAGCAGGAGUUGAGUUUCUGAGUUUCCUUUACUGGAAGAAAAUUUGUAAAACGGCCAAACCAGAAUGGGACAGACACUGAGUUUAGCAACAAUGGUCAAAUGCAAUAACAUAAACAAACAUCAGUGACUGCACACAAACAGUACAACUGAAUCACUAGGUCCCUCAAAGCAACGGAGUUGCUAAUGUUUCUCACGCGUAAAACAAAACAUAACACUUGGACAACUAUGUAGCAAGUGUAUCAUUUGUGAGGUAAGUAUUACUUCAUUCCUUAAUAUGUCAGUCUAACGUAAUAUAUAUGCGCACAUACUGUAACUCUUAUUAAUUGAUUAUUCCGAGAUAGUGCUUCAAAAAGAGCUGUUACGGAGAGGAAGAAAGAAGGUAGACUUCGCUUGCUCUUUUUCAUGUUUGACGAACAAUUUCAAAACGACAAUGCAUGAAGCACCCGCUUAAGAUGAUAAUAAACUUAACCAGCAGAGGGCGCCAACAACAUGUAACGACAAUUC